CCAAAAAUAAAGGGAAACCCGAGCCUUCAUGAUUCAGGGUGCACAGACAACCAGGAGGUUUUCCUAGAAGCAGCCACCCUUGAAAGAGUGCAUAAUUGCUCACUGAUCGAGUGCUUUUACGCCGAAGAUGAACGGGGUUAAGCGAUCUGCCAAAGCUAUGGGAUGUCAAAAUACAUC
rnacentral:ncRNA from 1 species